GACAAGAUAACCUUGGGUUUUGUAAUCUGAGCUGUGCCGUAUAAUUAUGAAGAGUUUAGGUUAAGCACCUACAACAAAAGAGCCGCAAUGAGCAAGAAUAAUUUUGCAGUUUAAAUAUCCUACAAAAGUAAAGAAUGAAGGAUUGCAGUGAACAUUGCCUUUGUUUGGCUGUGGCAGACGCGAAGGAAGGGAAAACAACCAUUUUUUUUGAUUUAUCAAAGCAAAACAGGUGCUUUUUUGGGUACAAAAAACGUAAUUGUUGAGAGAC